rnacentral:rRNA from 1 species
CUCAGGAUGAACGCUGGCGGCGUGCCUAAUACAUGCAAGUAGAACGCACAGUUUAUACCGUAGCUUGCUACACCAUAGACUGUGAGUUGCGAACGGGUGAGUAACGCGUAGGUAACCUGCCUGGUAGCGGGGGAUAACUAUUGGAAACGAUAGCUAAUACCGCAUAAUAUUGAUUAUUGCAUGAUAAUUGAUUGAAAGAUGCUAUUG